CCCUUAGAUGUCCUGGGCUGCACGCGCGCUACACUGAUGUGUCCAGUAAGCACCUAACCUCUUCCGAAAGGAACGGGUAACCUUUGCAAAGCACAUCGUGAUGGGGAUAGAUUAUUGCAAUUAUUAGUCUUGAACGAGGAAUUCCUAGUAAGCACAAGUCAUCAGCUUGUGUUGAUUACGUCCCUGCCCUUUGUACACACCGCCCGUCGCUCCUACCGAUUGAGUGCUCCGGUGAACAAUUUGGACUGCUUUGAUUCGAUUAGAAUUUGAAGCGGAAAGUUUAGUGAACCUUAUCACUUAGAGGAAGGAGAAGUCGUAACA
rnacentral:rRNA from 1 species